AGUACCUUGGAUUUCUGAGUGGGCAAGGCUGGACCCUGAGCCCUGGGACCUCUGAAGUGAACACUGCAGGGCCAUUUGUUCUUCCAGUGUGAAUCAGUUAAUAUUCUCGGGAACGAGGGAGAGGUUGAUCCUAUGAGGAAAUCAACCACAGUGAAAAGGCUUGGGCCGCUUUUGUUUUCACCUCCUUUUGUUGAACAAAUUUGAUUUCCGGAGUCAGUCAUUUUACUGUCAAGACAUUUCUUCGGCAUUCUGCAACAGUUUCCAACGUGGCUAGAUCCAUCAGAAACUGAAGCCGUGGAGAACGCUCUCGGGGCCUUUGCCACUUCUUGGAGUAGAAGCCGACAGAGAGCUGUUUGGAAACUUCUCCUUCACACACCAGUUGAAGACUAGGCUUUGGAGGUUUUCAAAGCAGACGGUGCUUGG
rnacentral:sRNA from 1 species